CCCCUCUCAGGGUCGUACCUGGAGAGUUUCCAGUACUCUGCCAGUCUCGACUACGGGAGGGAGAGUCAAGCAGAGGCCUACCCAUUCCAUUCCUAGUUUGGGCAGUGACUAGAGAGUGGAACGGAGGCCAUCUGCUACAAGG